rnacentral:rRNA from 1 species
CAGUCGCCACGGUAACACGGAGGGUGCAAGCGUUAAUCGGAAUUACUGGGCGUAAAGCGCACGCAGGCGGUUUGUUAAGUCAGAUGUGAAAUCCCCGGGCUCAACCUGGGAACUGCAUUUGAAACUGGCAAGCUAGAGUCUCGUAGAGGGGGGUAGAAUUCCAGGUGUAGCGGUGAAAUGCGUAGAGAUCUGGAGGAAUACCGGUGGCGAAGGCGGCCCCCUGGACGAAGACUGACGCUCAGGUGCGAAAGCGUGGGGAGCAAACAGGAUUAGAUACCCCGGUAGUCCCUGUCUCUUAUAC